rnacentral:lncRNA from 1 species
UCUCAAAUUGGAGUCUUGAAACAACAGAUUGGUACUAGAGGAAGGACUUUCAGUCUAAUCAAAGAGGAAAGAGAAUAUGACAAAAAUGAGAUCACACACUUUACCGCCUCUCACCGAUGGUCCUCUCACCACAGCUAGAGUGGUGCUACUCGAGAGUCUGCCAUAGUGCAACCUCCUAUCUCAACCAAUCCAUAGUGCAACAGAUGGCGAAGUGACCUUGAUCUUGAGAGCCACCACCUUAGAUGGCUCUCUCUCAGCAUAGUCAUUGGUCCCAUCCCAAGAGUCCAGCAUCAGC